rfam:Canis lupus familiaris chromosome 11, whole genome shotgun sequence.
ACCUGGUUGGCUCAGUCGGAAGAGUGUGCGACUCUUGGUCUCAGGUUGUGAGUUCAAGCCCCACAUUGGGUG